GGGGGAGAUGCAAAGUGGGACAAAGGACUUGGAGGGAUGGAAAGAGAAGAACGUUUGGUGAGGAUGUGAUGUAUGAGAAAAGAAUAAAAGGAAAAAAAUCAGAGAUAAUGCAUUUUAUUAAUUAGUGAUUGGUGGGGAAAGGCUUCCCUUUGAGGUAAACCUCACGCGGCCUGGACAUGGACAGGAUUGACAGAAUGAUAGCUCUUUCUCGAUUCCGUGGUUGGUGGGGUAAGGCUGUUCUUAGUUGGCAGAGCAAGUUGUCUGGUUAAUUAAGAUAACGAAAGAGACUCUGGCAUAAUAACUAGUUAUGCAACCCCCGAGCAGUCGGCGUCCCCCAACUUCUUAGAGGGACAAGUGGCGUUGAGCAAUAACAGGUCUGUGAUGCCCUUAGAUGUCCAGGGCUGCACGCGAGAUACACUGACUGGCUCAGCAUGUGCCUACACUAUGCCCGGCAGGCGCGGGUAACCCAUUGAACCCCAUUCGUGAUGGGGAUCGGGGAUUGCAAUUAUUCCCCACCAACGAGGAAUUCUCAGUAAGUGCAGGUCAUAAGCUUGCAUUGAUUAAGUCCCUGCCCUUUGUACACACUGCCCGUCACUACUACCAAUUGGAUGGUUUAGUGAGGCCCACUGGGGUCAGGCCGUGGUGGAGCGCUGAGAAGAUGGUAGAACUUGACUAUCUAGAGGAAGUAAAAGUCGUAAUGAGGUAGUCUUAUUCCUGAGCCUG
rnacentral:ncRNA from 1 species